AUACGGAGGAUCCGAGCGUUAUCCGGAUUUAUUGGGUUUAAAGGGAGCGUAGGGGGACAGUUAAGUCAGUUGUGAAAGUUUGCGGCUCAACCGUAAAAUUGCAGUUGAUACUGGCUGUCUUGAGUACAGUAGAGGGGGGCGGAAUUCGGGGUGUAGCGGUGAAAUGCUUAGAGAUCACGAAGAACUCCGAUUGCGAAGGCAGCCUGCUGGAAUGUAACUGACGCUGAUGCUCGAAAGUGUGGGUAUCAAACAGGAUUAGAUACCCUGGUAGUCCACACAGUAAACGAUGAAUACUCGCUGUUUGCGAUAUACAGUAAGCGGCCAAGCGAAAGCGUUAAGUAUUCCACCUGGGGAGUACGCCGGCAACGGUGAAACUCAAAGGAAUUGACGGGG
rnacentral:rRNA from 1 species